GUGAAUCAUCGAAUCUUUGAACGCAUCUUGCGCUCCUUGGUAUUCCGAGGAGCAUGCCUGUUUGAGUGUCAUGAAAUCUCUCAAUGAACUUGUUUAUUUUCAUUGGAUUUGGAUGUUGCUGUUGUGGCUCAUCUGAAAUGCAUUAGCUGGCAAGCCUGGGUCUUAAGCUGGGUGUGAUAAUAAUUGAUCACUCAAGCUCCCAAGGGUAUUGACUGCUGAUAAUUGUCCUCGGACAACUCAUGUCGUUUGACCUCAAAUCAGGUAGGACUACCCGCUGAACUUAAGCAUAUCAAUAAGCGG
rnacentral:misc_RNA from 1 species